rnacentral:rRNA from 1 species
GCAGCAUGGUCUUAGCUUGCUAAGGCCGAUGGCGACCGGCGCACGGGUGAGUAACACGUAUCCAACCUGCCGUCUACUCUUGGACAGCCUUCUGAAAGGAAGAUUAAUACAAGAUGGCAUCAUGAGUCCGCAUGUUCACAUGAUUAAAGGUAUUCCGGUAGACGAUGGGGAUGCGUUCCAUUAGAUAGUAGGCGGGGUAACGGCCCACCUAGUCUUCGAUGGAUAGGGGUUCUGAGAGGAAGGUCCCCCACAUUGGAACUGAGACACGGUCCAAACUCCUACGGGAGGCAGCAGUGAGGAAUAUUGGUCAAUGGGCGAGGGCCUGAACCAGCCAAGUAGCGUGAAGGAUGACUGCCCUAUGGGUUGUAAACUUCUUUUAUAAAGGAAUAAAGUCGGGUAUGUAUACCCGUUUGCAUGUACUUUAUGAAUAAGGAUCGGCUAACUCCGUGCCAGCAGCCGCGGUAAUACGGAGGAUCCGAGCGUUAUCCGGAUUUAUUGGGUUUAAAGGGAGCGUAGAUGGAUGUUUAAGUCAGUUGUGAAAGUUUGCGGCUCAACCGUAAAAUUGCAGUUGAUACUGGAUAUCUUGAGUGCAGUUGAGGCAGGCGGAAUUCGUGGUGUAGCGGUGAAAUGCUUAGAUAUCACGAAGAACUCCGAUUGCGAAGGCAGCCUGCU